CUGAUAUGGAACAUAGGAGAGCCCUGCUGCCCUGGCAUAAUGAAAUGGCAGACUCUAGCAGCAGGCUCUCUGACAAUAUCAAUUUUAAAUGCUUUUAAACAAACACAUCUCGCAUGAAAGAAGUCUAGCACUUUUCAUAAAAGAACCAUCCAAAUCUUUGUUGUGAAUUUGCAGUACUUGCUCUGGCUCUUAUGAAGAAAGAAGAAGAAAAAUGGCAGCCACUCCAAGUGGCCUCUCUGACAAAGAGAAUCACCUGGCUUGGAAUAUAUCCAUUCGGGAAACAAGGCAGCUCCAAGAUUCAAGGAGACACAGUUUACCCAAGCGAGGAGAAAUCUUGAACUUGAAUCAUUUUUGCCUUCACAUCAGAUUGCCCUGUGCAGUCUUAAAAGUCCCAUUGUCCAUCCAGAAUCCCAUGAAAGUCAAAUCUGCAUCUCUUGAACAGAGACCCAGGUAUUAGUAUUUUUCAAAAGGUUCAAGUAAUUCCUGUGUGCUACUCUAGAGUUAUAUAACCAGAGGCCAUAGAUAAUUUUACCAAGUUCAAUUACUCAGUCAUCACUAUUUCCA
rnacentral:lncRNA from 1 species